rnacentral:lncRNA from 7 species
CCCUGAUUAGUUGAGAGAAUUCGAUAUGGAGAUGCAUGGAUCGGAGCCGAUCACGCACGCAAAGGAGAAGGGAGCGAGAUCGACGAGCGAAUCCGCCGUGUGCGCACUUCGAGGCGGCGUACCUCCCUAAACACGUCACGUACAUUGGCAAACAAACAAUUAACGCGUCGACGAUGUUAAUAUAUGAUCGUCCUUAUCCGGUCUCCAAGGCUCGGGGGCGCCCCAUUGGCUGGGCCGGCGAGGGAGGUUGGUGACAACAGGGGGCUUGGUUGGAUCAUGGAUGCACGUGAAAGGCCGGCCAGUCGUACGCUCCGCUGGUCAGGUCCAAACCUAGUCGUAUACUGUAAGCAAUUGUUUAUCACUGAUUAGUACCUUAACCUGGUGUGGUGGGUUAAAGCGAGGAGGUCUAGAUUUGCGCUAGUUUGCCUCCGAUCUACUACGUACGUUUCUUUCUUGCGUUGCUGUGCCGCUGCUGCCGUGUCGUCGUCCUAUAGCAGGAAGGAAAGAAGACAAAGGCCGGUUAAGCUCACGAUGAUAAUAUAAUUAUUAUAUUAUCAUCAACGGAGUUAACACGCCCGCAGGUGCAGCAGAUGGAUUGAUCGAUAGGUUUUCGUUGUCUUACGUUGUGUGUGUGUGUACACAUCAAUUCGACCAGCCCAGCAAUUGUC